GUUUAUUCUGUCAUAGGUCUGGAGACAGAAAUCUGAAUUCAAGGCACAGGCAGAGUUAGUGUCUUCUGCAGGUUCUCGGGGAGAAACCAUCCCACACCUCUCCAGCUUCUGGUGGCUCCCAGCAAUCCUUGGUGCUCUUUGGCUCUCAGCUGCAUCCCUCUGGUCUCUGCCUCCUUGGUCAUGUGGCUUUCUUCCUAUGUGUCACUGCAUCUCCAAUCUCCUUCUUCUUAUAAGGACACCAGUCAUUGGAUUUAGGGCCCACUCGGAUCCAGCCUUUUUGAAGGACACAAUUCCACCUGCAGCACCUGUCUUCACUUGCUUAGGUUAUGGGUGGGUUUCCCUUCAGAGUGUUAUCUUCUGAGAAGAAGGUUUGAAUUCAUAGCUGGAUUAUGCCUGCCUUUGAUUGUUCAAUUUGGCCCCCAGGGAUGAGUGAGCAAGUUCAUGUCAUUGGAAGGGACAUUACUGAGUCUCACCCCUACUCAAACCUCCAAAGUUUGAAAGAUUUGAUACUCAUCAACAUUCUCAAGAGGCAGAAGGGCAAGGUGCUUCCUUAUGUAGUUUCUCCAUGACUGUCCUUCCCCACUUUCCCAGUACUGACUGGAAAGAAAAACAAAGCAGGACAAAGGGAUUGUCAGUCAUUUGAGGGAAGGGAUGCUGUGUUAGUUACUCCUGAACCCCUUCAGAGUGUAGGCAGAGAGAGGUACUUAGAAAG
rnacentral:lncRNA from 1 species